rnacentral:rRNA from 1 species
GACGAACGCUGGAGGCGUGCUUAACACAUGCAAGUCGAACGAUGAAAUGGAGCUUGCUCCAUGGAUUAGUGGCGAACGGGUGAGUAACACGUGAAUAACCUGCCCUUAAUUUUGGAAUAACCCAGGGAAACCUGGGCUAAUACCGGAUAAGUAAACCUGUGGCAUCACAUGGUUUUGGAAAGUUUUUCGAUUAAGGAUGGAUUCGCGGCCUAUCAGCUUGUUGGUGAGGUAAUGGCUCACCAAGGCGACGACGGGUAGCCGGCCUGAGAGGGGGAACGGGCACAAGAGGACUGGGACACGGCACAGACGCGUACGGGAGGCAGCAGUGGGGAAUAUUGCGCAAUGGACGAAAGUCUGACGCAGCGACGCCUCGUGAGGGACGAAGGUCUUCGGAUUGUAAACCUCUUUCAGCAGGGACGAAGCGAAAGUGACGGUACCUGCAGAAGAAGCACCGGCUAACUAUGUGCCAGCAGCCGCCGUAA